UUCUCCAAUAGCUCAGUCGGUAGAGCAAUGGACUGUUAAUCCAUGUGUCCCUGGUUCGAGCCCAGGUUGGAGAGCCAU
rnacentral:tRNA from 1 species